rnacentral:rRNA from 1 species
AACCCCUGGGCGAAGUGAAAGCGAAAGUGCGUUUGACGCACCGAGGUGAGAGCGGACGGUGACUCGCCCGCGCAUCAUCGACCGAUCCGCAUCACUUGUGGUGGGAUUUGAGUGAGAGUGUGCCUGUUGCGACCCGAAAGAUGGUGAACUAUGCCCGAACAGGGUGAAGCCAGGGGAAACCCUGGUGGAAGCCCGAAGCGAUUCUGACGUGCAAAUCGAUCGUCUGAUUUGGGUAUAGGGGCGAAAGACUAAUCGAACCAUCUAGUAGCUGGUUCCCUCCGAAGUUUCCCUCAGGAUAGCUGGAACCCGUGUGUGCAGUUUUAUCAGGUAAAGCGAAUGAUUAGAGGUCUUGGGGUUGAAACAACCUCAACCUAUUCUCAAACUUUAAAUAGGUAAGACGUCCGACUUGCUC